GACGGAGGGUGCUAGCGUUGUUCGGAAUCACUGGGCGUAAAGGGCGCGUAGGCGGUUCGGUAAGUCCGCUGUGAAAGUCGGGGGCUCAACCCUCGGAAGCCGGUGGAUACUGUCGAGCUAGAGUACGGAAGAGGCGAGUGGAAUUCCUGGUGUAGCGGUGAAAUGCGCAGAUAUCAGGAGGAACACCAAUUGCGAAGGCAGCUCGCUGGGACGUUACUGACGCUGAGACGCGAAAGCGUGGGGAGCAAACAGG
rnacentral:rRNA from 1 species